AUGACUCUCAUCACCAUCCUCAUCUGGACGCUGGCCUGCUGCUGUUUUACAGGAUGCAGCGGUCAGGUGACUGUGACUCAGCCUGCAGUAAAGACAUCUGCUCCAGGAUCCACUGUCACUAUCAGCUGUAAGACCAGCCAGGCUGUCUACCCCAAUUGUGGUGAUAAUGCUCAUUGUAUGUCCUGGUUUCAGCAGAAGUCUGGACAGAUUCCAAAGCUCCUGAUAAGAAAAGUGAGCACACGUGAAUCAGGAACAGCAGCUCGGUUUAGUGGCAGUGGAAGCAGCUCUGACUUCACUUUGACCAUCAGUGGAGUUCAGACUGAAGAUGCAGCAGUUUAUUACUGUCAGAGUUAUCACUACAUAAACAGUGCUCAUGUGUUCACACAGUGA